rnacentral:rRNA from 1 species
CCUACGGGAGGCAGCAGUGGGGAAUAUUGCACAAUGGGGGAAACCCUGAUGCAGCGACGCCGCGUGAGUGAAGAAGUAAUUCGUUACGUAAAGCUCUAUCAGCAGGGAAGAAACACUGACCUUACGGUCAGCAGACGGUACCUGAGUAAGAAGCCCCGGCUAACUACGUGCCAGCAGCCGCGGUAAUACGUAGGGGGCAAGCGUUAUCCGGAUUUACUGGGGGAAAGGGAGCGUAGACGGUGCGCCAAGUCUGGAGUGAAAUGCCGGAGCUUAACUGCGGAACUGCUUUGGAAACGGGCGAACUAGAGUGCGGGAGGGGUAAGCGGAAUUCCUAGUGUAGCGGUGAAAUGCGUAGAUAUUAGGAGGAACACCGGUGGCGAAGGCGGCUUACUGGACCGUAACUGACGUUGAGGCUCGAAAGUGUGGGUAUCAAACAGGAUUAGAUACCCCUGUAGUC